GAUGGGUUGGAGUGAAGUUCUGUUUCCGUGCUGUACAUCUCUAUGACUCUAGUUGAAAAACAACAAAUUGAAAGUGUUAAGAGCAGUGGGUGACAUUCAAGAUAAAGACUGAAGGUUUCGAGCAAAUAUGUUCUCAAAGAUAAAAGCUGAGACUCUCAAAUUGAGGACCCUUGGACAAUCCAUGAGUAUGCAAGAGGCCAACCUGAAUGGAUUCACCUCCUCGCUCUGUCUGCUGCCCAGUUUGGUCAUUACAGACCAGUACGAAUACACUUGGCUGGUCUUGCCGAGCCACGUGGAGGCCUGAGUGUGGACACAGUGGUAUCAGACUAUGCUUCAAUGUUCUUACAUCAACAGCAAAGGAAUCAGACUUGUCAGUACAGAAUGAAAAUGGAACACAAGGCUCACUUUUCCAGCCCCCUUCAGUUCUACUGAAGAGUAGAAUGGGAUUUAAAAGGUUGUCUCUGUA